GCUGGAACAAACAGCAGUCCGCUCUUACGCAGCGGCAAUCCCGACGAUCCGAUCGAGAGAUUAAUUGAUGAUUUGUCGAGGCCCCCAGAGUCCGCCGGUCGGACAUCGAUACGAGCCGACCUUGCAGCUGCUGCAGUCUUGGUCGCCCGCGCGAUUGAGUCAGUAAACGGACUCACCCGCGAUCUCCGCCGAGGCUGUCCUGUCGUGUCGCUCGCCACCCAUAGAGCCGAGGUGGUCUCCCUGGCUAAGCAGGUUCUAGAAGCCUGCGCUUUUGGCUCUGAAGCAA
rnacentral:misc_RNA from 1 species